rnacentral:lncRNA from 1 species
UGUGGAUGAUGUGAUGUAAUGUAAUGCAAUGUAAUAUAUUUUUUCAGCUGGGAACAUUGCCCAAGAUUCCGUAGGUAAGAAUAAAGAAAGAAUGGAUUACCAACAGAAAUAUCUGUCACAGUGUCUGUGCUUAGUCUGGCAAAGCUAAAUUAAGCUGCAGCAACAAAUCCUGGUGACUUGAUGCAACAAAGACAUCUUUCUUGUUCAUGCAAUGCCUGAUGUAAACCCAGUGGCUUGCUAUUGUAGUUCUUCAAGUGAUGACCGCCUCCUUUUAAGGUUCCUGCUUCUCAACAGUGGCUUCUGGGAUGCUAAGGGGAUAGGUGUGUCUUUCCAGAAAUAG